AUACGUAGGUGGCAAGCGUUGUCCGGAUUUACUGGGUGUAAAGGGCGUGUAGGCGGAGAUGCAAGUCAGGAGUGAAAUCUAGGGGCUCAACCCCUAAACUGCUUUUGAAACUGUAUCCCUUGAGUAUCGGAGAGGCAGGCGGAAUUCCUAGUGUAGCGGUGAAAUGCGUAGAUAUUAGGAGGAACACCAGUGGCGAAGGCGGCUUUCUGGACAGUAACUUACGCUUAGGCGCGAAAGCGUGGGUAGCGAACAGGAUGAGAUACCCUGGUAGUCCACGCCGUAAACGAUGGAUACUAGGUGUAGGAGGUAUCGACCCCUUCUGUGCCGGAGUUAACACAAUAAGUAUCCCACCUGGGGAGUACGGCCGCAAGGUUGAAACUCAAAUGAAUUGACGGGG
rnacentral:rRNA from 1 species